rnacentral:tRNA from 1 species
AGCCGGGUAGCCAAGCGGUUACGGCAACAGGCUUUGACCCUGUGAUCGACGGUUCGAUCCCGUCCCCGGCUGCCA